rnacentral:rRNA from 1 species
GACGAACCGUGCGAACGUUAUUCGGAAUCACUGGGCGUAAAGCGUCUGCAGGUGGUUUCCUAAGUCCACUGUUAAACCUUGAGGCUCAACCUCAAAUCUGCAUUGGAAACUAGGAGACUUGAGUAUAGUAGGGGUAGAGGGAAUUUCCAGUGGAGCGGUGAAAUGCGUAGAUAUUGGAAAGAACACCGAUGGCGAAGGCACUCUACUGGGCUAUUACUGACACUCAGAGACGAAAGCUAGGGGAGCAAAUGGG